CAAUAACACACAAGACACAACCCUUCAGACGUGUCCUUCCCCAAGCAAACUUGUGAACUUCUUCAAGAUAAAACUCAUCUGCUACCCCCUCAUCUCUCCCCAAAGAAGUUUGAAAUGCACGGUACCAGGUGAAUAUGUAGACAACUUAAAUUAUCUGCAUCAGCAAGCGACUCUGCAUUAACAGCUGAGGAGUUUAUGAUGAGUUGGCAAAAAGAGACACCUGUGAACCAGCGCGCACUAGACUCUUGAAUGCACUCCGGGAAUGGCACUCAGUGUCCUGAUGCGGACUCCAGGGCCCCCUUUCCAGUCCUUUGAGCAACUUGCAGAAGAUGAGGACGUUGUAUCUCCCCGCUGUCCGGGGCCCACUCUCCCUACACGAUUGCAAGUGACAUCUUAGCUCACAGGCUGCAAAGUGACACACUUGGCUGCAAGGCCUCAUUCUCAGCACUGGUUUGUCCACCACCAUGCAGUGUGACAUCCUUGACCAAUGAUAAAAAAACAGCUAGCUGGGCUCGGUGGCUCAUGCCUGUAAUACCAGCACUUUGGGAGGCAGAGGCAGGCAUAUCAUGAGGUCAGGAGAUCGAGACUAUCCUGCCUAACACAGUGAAACCCCAUCUCUACUAAAAAUACAAAAAAUUACCCAAGCG
rnacentral:lncRNA from 1 species